AUUGAACGCUGGCGGCAUGCCUAACACAUGCAAGUCGAACGGCAGCACGGGAGCUUGCUCCUGGUGGCGAGUGGCGGACGGGUGAGUAAUGCAUAGGAAUCUGCCCAGUAGCGGGGGACAACUUGGGGAAACUCAAGCUAAUACCGCAUGCGCCCUACGGGGGAAAGCGGGGGACCUUCGGGCCUCGCACUAUUGGAUGAGCCUAUGUCAGAUUAGCUUGUUGGUGGGGUAACGGCCUACCAAGGCGACGAUCUGUAGCUGGUCUGAGAGGACGAUCAGCCACACUGGGACUGAGACACGGCCCAGACUCCUACGGGAGGCAGCAGUGGGGAAUAUUGCACAAUGGGCGAAAGCCUGAUGCAGCAAUGCCGCGUGUGUGAAGAAGGCCUGCGGGUUGUAAAAGCACUUUCAGUAGGAGGAAACAGUAGCCGGUUAAUAUCGUUCG
rnacentral:rRNA from 1 species